GGAGGGAGAGAGGGGGGCUAGUAAACUGGAAGUAAUUGGGCUUCUUGGAGGUGUAUACUUAAGCAGGACAAAUGUGAGCUGAUUUAAUGCUGCAUAGUAGGUGAACUUAAAAGGGUGAGAAACUGGAAAAAGAGGUUUGACUGGUAUGCCAUGUGCUGCUUGGCCUUCUCACUGAGAUUAGCUCUAAUGUGCUCCCUCCCCUCCCCAGAUUUUUAUUUUGUGUGUGUCUGCGUAUAUGUAUGUGAUCCACAUGCAUGCCUGGUGUGUACACAGGCUGAAGGAGUGUGUUGGAGCACCUGAAGUUAGGGACCAUUGUGAGCCACCUAUGGGAACUGAAUCUGCAAGAGAAGUAAUUCUGGAAGUAGAAAGUACUUCUGUCUUUGAAAAGCAACUGAGGAACUUCUACUGUAGGAAGUAGCUGUGAAACAGGUCUGUGAGAGAGCCACUUCUCAGGCCAAAGGAAACUUGGCUCUGCUCCUGAAGUGGCGUGUGACAAAAGUGCCCAGGGCUACCAGAGGGAUGCACAUGGUAGAGGAGGCUACCAGAAUCCCUAUGACAGCUAGUGCAUAUGUGGGGUAAUCCUUGGUCACCACAUGGCCCUGCAAGAGAGAGACAUGAGAAACCUUCACUAGUCUUGACUACUUCCUCCAGCCUUCAUUCCAGCCUCCAUUCCGAAAAAAAGGGAAAAUGGUUUAGGUUGAACAUGAAAUACUUUCCCUCAUAGACUCAGAUGCCUACCUUCUCUAGCCAUGUAGUUCUACUUUAGGAAGUAGGUAAUUGGGGGCUGUUGGCUUCCACUCUAUUUUCUGGCCAUCAGGGAGUGGAAACCUCUACCUCACACUCUUGUUGCUGUGAUAUUCUAUCCAACCCAAUAAAGUGGCCCCUCUGAAA